UAAAUGCCCUUUCGUACAAAUGUAAUUAAGUUAUUAACAAAAUAUUAAUUAAACAAUAUUCUUUAAAUUGAAUACUUUGAUUGUGAUAAUAGUUUUUAUCAUAUUUUAAAUUUUAAAUUUUUUCGAAUAGAAAAAUAUUUUAUUUUUGUAUUAUUAUUAUUUAAUUUAUGUUAAAAAUUUUUUAUUAGAAUUUAUUUUAUUUAUGUUUAAAUAAUUUUUAAUUCAAUUUAAAUUAGUUUGUAGUAAAUUGGCCCAUAUAUGAAGGUAAUUAAAUAUUGAUAUGUAACAGGAAUGAUUCUAAUUGUGAUUGUAAGACUUAUUACAAUGAGCUGUUGCUCGGUGUGAAAGAACCCUUAACGUAAUCUACUUUUCCGUUUUUUAUUUCUUUUAAUAGUUAUUGUUGUGCCCAGGCCUUUAAAGUCACUUUCAAAGAAAGUGUAGACACUGUUGUUAAAAAUCGUACGUUGUGUGCGCACCUUUAAUUUAAAUCUCAGUCCAUUGUAGAAAUAGUCUGAAUCGCGCUUUAUUUACUUACGUUCCCAACCCUGUUAAACUUCUGCUGGACCGCUGGACGAGUCAACAGAAUGAGUCGAGAAAACUUGAGACUGUAAGCAGAAAUUUUAUUUAUUGUAAAUUAUAAUAAAUUGUAAAGACGAAUUUUGUUUAUUUGUAUAUACAAUUUUCUUUGUCUUCCUAAUUCAUCGUCUAGAAAAACGAAGAGGAAGAGGAAGAAGAAGAAGAACCUAAAGAGUAAUCACCACGCCUACUUCAAAUAACCUGGAAUCUGGGAUUUCGUUAAAUUUAGACAUCCUCCCCUCUUCCGACACUUUUUGCUGCUCUCACCCUAAAUGGAGCAUGAUUCAACCACAAGGAACCAGAAUUCAAGUGAGGCGAAAAAAGAAGAGGAAGUGAACCAAAG